CUAAGGUGGGGGAUAACCCCGGGAAACUGGGGAUAAUACCCCAUAGACUAUAGAUGCUGGAAUGCUUUGUAGUUGAAAGGUCAGCCGCCAUAGGAUGGGUCUGCGGCCGAUUAGGUAGUUGUUGGGGUAACGGCCCAACAAGCCUGUAAUCGGUACGGGUUGUGGGAGCAAGAGCCCGGAGAUGGAUUCUGAGACACGAAUCCAGGCCCUACGGGGCGCAGCAGGCGCGAAAACUUUACAAUGCGGGAAACCGUGAUAAGGGAACUCCGAGUGCCCGUUAAAUCGGGCUGUCCAUCAGUUUAAAAAACUGGUGAAGAAAGGGCCGGGCAAGACCGGUGCCAGCCGCCGCGGUAAUACCGGCGGCUCGAGUGGUGGCCACUAUUACUGGGCUUAAAGCGUUCGUAGCUGGUUUGUUAAGUCUCUGGGGAAAUCUUCCGGCUUAACCGGAAGGCGUCUCAGGGAUACUGGCAAACUAGGGACCGGAAGAGGUGAGGGGUACUCCAGGGGUAGGAGUGAAAUCCUGUAAUCCUUGGGGGACCACCUGUGGCGAAGGCGCCUCACCAGGACGGCUCCGACAGUGAGGGACGAAAGCUGGGGGAGCAAACCGGAUUAGAUACCCGGGUAGUCCCAGCCGUAAACGAUGUGCGUUAGGUGUAUCGGUGACCACGAGUCACCGAGGUGCCGAAGAGAAAUCGUGAAACGUACCGCCUGGGAAGUACGGUCGCAAGGCUGAAACUUAAAGGAAUUGGCGGGGGAGCACCACAACAGGUGGAGCCUGCGGUUUAAUCGGACUCAACGCCGGAAAACUCACCAGAUAAGACAGCUGAAUGAUAGUCGGGCUGAAGACUCUACUUGACUAGCUGAGAGGAGGUGCAUGG
rnacentral:rRNA from 1 species